rnacentral:rRNA from 1 species
UACGUAGGGGGCAAGCGUUGUCCGGAAUCAUUGGGCGUAAAGAGCGCGUAGGCGGCCCUGUAAGUCCGCUGUGAAAGUCAAGGGCUCAACCCUUGGAUGCCGGUGGAUACUGCAGGGCUAGAGUCCGGAAGAGGCGAGUGGAAUUCCUGGUGUAGCGGUGAAAUGCGCAGAUAUCAGGAGGAACACCGAUGGCGAAGGCAGCUCGCUGGGACGGUACUGACGCUGAGGCGCGAAAGCUGGGGGAGCAAACCGG